rnacentral:snRNA from 1 species
UUGCUCACUUCGGCAGCACAUAUACUAAAAUUGAAAUGAUACAGAGAAGGUUAGCAAGGCCCCUGUGCCAGGAUGACACACAAAUUCGUGAAACAUUCCAUAUUUUU